CCGUGGUAAUUCUAGAGCUAAUACAUGCUAAAAAUCCCGACUGCUUGGAAGGGAUGUAUUUAUUAGAUAAAAAAUCAACGCUCUUUGAGCUCUUUGAUGAUUCAUAAUAACUUUUCGAAUCGCAUGGCCUUGUGCUGGCGAUGGUUCAUUCAAAUUUCUGCCCUAUCAACUUUCGAUGGUAGGAUAGUGGCCUACCAUGGUUUCAACGGGUAACGGGGAAUAAGGGUUCGAUUCCGGAGAGGGAGCCUGAGAAACGGCUACCACAUCCAAGGAAGGCAGCAGGCGCGCAAAUUACCCAAUCCCGACACGGGGAGGUAGUGACAAUAAAUAACGAUGCAGGGCCCUUUCGGGUCUUGUAAUUGGAAUGAGUACAAUGUAAAUACCUUAACGAGGAACAAUUGGAGGGCAAGUCUGGUGCCAGCAGCCGCGGUAAUUCCAGCUCCAAUAGCGUAUAUUAAAGUUGUUGCAGUUAAAAAGCUCGUAGUUGAACUUUGGGCUUGGUUGGCCGGUCCGCCUUUUGGCGAGUACUGGACCCGACCGAGCCUUUCCUUCUGGCUAACCAAGUGCCCUUGUGGUGCUUGGCGAACCAGGACUUUUACUUUGAAAAAAUUAGAGUGUUCAAAGCAGGCGUUUCGCUCGAAUAUAUUAGCAUGGAAUAAUAGAAUAGGACGUUAUGGUUCUAUUUUGUUGGUUUCUAGGACCAUCGUAAUGAUUAACAGGAACGGUCGGGGGCAUCAGUAUUCAGUUGUCAGAGGUGAAAUUCUUGGAUCUACUGAAGACUAACUAC
rnacentral:rRNA from 1 species